AAGUAAAAGUCGUAACAAGGUUUCCGUAGGUGAACCUGCGGAAGGAUCAUUAACGAGUAACUGAACAGGUUGUAGCUGGCCUCUCGGGGCAUGUGCACGCCUGGCUCAUCCACUCUUCAACCACUGUGCACUUAUUGUAGGUCGGUUCAGAAGGGCGAGUGUAACAGCUCGCUCGGAAGGCCUUCCUAUGUUUUAUUACAAACGCUUCAGUUUAAGAAUGUAAACCUGCGUAUAACGCAUCUAUAUACAACUUUCAGCAACGGAUCUCUUGGCUCUCGCAUCGAUGAAGAACGCAGCGAAAUGCGAUAAGUAAUGUGAAUUGCAGAAUUCAGUGAAUCAUCGAAUCUUUGAACGCACCUUGCGCUCCCUGGUAUUCCGGGGAGCAUGCCUGUUUGAGUGUCAUGGUAUUCUCAUCCUUCAUAACUUUUGUUAUCGAAGGCAUGGACUUGGAGGUCGUGCUGGUUCCUCGUUGAAUCGGCUCCUCUUAAAUGCAUUAGCGUGAGUGUAACGGAUCGCUUCGGUGUGAUAAUUAUCUGCGCCGUGGUCGUGAAGUAACAUAAGCUUGCGCUUCUAACCGUCCUUAAGCUGGACAACUUACUUUGACAUCUGACCUCAAAUCAGGUAGGACUACCCGCUGAACUUAAGCAUAUCAAUAAGCGGAGGAAAAGAAACUAACAAGGAUUCCCCUAGUAACUGCGAGUGAAGCGGGAAAAGCUCAAAUUUAAAAUCUGGCAGCUUUGGCUGUCCGAGUUGUAAUCUGGAGAAGCGUCUUCCGCGCUGGA
rnacentral:rRNA from 1 species